rnacentral:tRNA from 1 species
UAGCUCAGCUGGCUAGAGCGCCUGCCUUGCACGCAGGAGGUCAUCGGUUCGACUCCGAUAUUCUCCA